rnacentral:rRNA from 1 species
CACGUAGGGCGCAAGCGUUGUCCGGAAUUAUUGGGCGUAAAGAGCUCGUAGGCGGUCUGUUGCGUCCGCUGUGAAAACUCGGGGCUUAACCCCGAGCCUGCAGUGGAUACGGGCAGACUAGAGGCAGGUAGGGGAGAAUGGAAUUCCCGGUGUAGCGGUGAAAUGCGCAGAUAUCGAUAGGAACUCCGGUGGCGAAGGCGGCAUACUGGACCACAUCUGACGCUGAGGCGCGAAAGCCAGGGGAGCAAACGGG